CUGCUGCCUCCCGUAGGAGUCUGGUCCAUGUCUCAGUACCAGUGUGGGGGGCCUUCCUCUCAGAACCCCUACGCAUCGUCGCCACGGUGGGCCGUCACCCCGCCGUCUAGCUAAUGCGCCGCAUGCCCAUCCGCCACCGGAUCGCUCCUUUGGCCACCGGAGGAUGCCCUCCGGUGGCGUCACGGGGUAUUAGGCCGCGUUUCCGCGGGUUAUCCCCCUGUGGCGGCCAGGUUGCAUACGUGUUACUCACCCGUGCGCCGGUCG
rnacentral:rRNA from 1 species